AUUUCCCCUGUAAAGAGCUCCUCUAAAUUUGUUCUAGGACAUUCCAGACAAGUCUCGCACAUGAAGGAAAAUGACUACUGUGAAAAUAUGAGAAAUGCAGGCUGAAAUUUAGUGAGUCUAAUUCAUGGCUUAGGAUUUAGCUCUGCAAAUAAUCAGGGACCUGGUAUUACUCAUAUGCUGGGGGCUUGUAAGGAAUGGAGAAAAUAUGACAUGUUUUUGGCUAAAUUCACAAGACGUGUACUCAGAGGGGACAUAAAAAUGCAUUAAGGGAGGAAACUCUGACUGUGGUCUAACCUACUUUGUUUAAACUUUGUGACAUGGUGUGUAGAGGAAGUCUUUCAGCUGUCUACUUUGGAUUUAGAGCUUCUAUACUUUUGGAGAUGAGUUGAAACAUUUUUCAUACUUAGCUUUCAGAACACCAGUUUGGGAGUUAAUGCAGUAUUAUUAUAUAAAUUGCAAUGCUUGAUUGGCUGGUUUAGUUCUUUUUAUUAGUAUAUGUUCUCACCUACAUGGCACACCAUCCAGUAUUUUGCUUCAUUGGGUUUAUGAGAUCACAUCAGUCUGAACAACAUCACAGCAGCGAUGCAGAGCUCAUUUUUCAAUUAGACACCAUAUCUACAAGGCAGAAUGACUGAAGAGCUUGCUCUGAUAUAGCAUCCACCCUUUUCCUCCCUUCCUCAAAGCUCUGCCACUGUAAUCCAUCCUUCUCCUGAAUGCCCAAUUAGUUCUAAUGUUCUCUCUGUCUCUCUUUUGUCCCCCAGGGGUCUACCUGCCGGUUCAGAGACUAUUUGUGCUUCCUCUCAUAUAUAUGCGCACUGGCAUGGAGGGAUAGAAGAACAAUCUAUAGCUAUCAACAGGCCCAUGUGAGCACAGCCCUGAGCUCUCCCCUGCCAGCCAUCAGCAUGUGCACUUCACCUUCAAGCUCAUUUACAAAGAGUCACAUUCUCAAGCAGAAGCUUGGCCCUCAUGAUGCACCCUGUUACCUUGGCCCAGCUGGUCCAGGGAUGUGUUGCGUACUGUCGGUUCCCUGUCUGUGCUGUAAUGAGUUGUGAGGGUGUCUUGAGUGCCCCUAAUGUGAGGUGAAUGGAGACGUUUGCAUGUGGGCUGCUCGCUUGUGCAUACUGAAUAAUGCAUUUGCUGAGGUUACCCACUAAUCUUUUUUUCUUACUGAAUUCUGCUCUCACUUUGGGCAAAAAGAAACACAAAAGGCAAGACAAAAUAAGUGCAGGAGGCCAAUGAUGAGCACCUUAAUUUACCUCCAAAAGGAAACAGCUGUUGUGGUGCCAGGCAACAAGUGGUCCCAACUUGCAGAUUGUGGGGAUUAACUGAAUUUGCCACUGUCAGUUUCCUUACGGGCCUGAUGUUCAUUCACGGCAUGAACGCUGAUCGGGGAGUGUACAAGCCACCUCUGGCUGCAUGCUGAUGCCUGGAUCUCUGUGCCAAAGCUCCUCCUGUCCUCUCCUUCAACGACUCAUUUCAGAGCUUAACGAAGAGGCUGACACAAAACAUGAAGAAGGGCCCUUGAGCGUGCCAGCAUUGCAUUUAGCCCAGGCCAUCCAACGUUGGAUGCUGCCUCGUAAACAGCGACUUGGUGUUGUGGUGACUCAAAGCCAGGUUAAUCCACCAUUGCCACAGAUGGAAUCUGAUUGGGGAUAUUCAUCUUCUUAUCUUUGCCUUCAUCCGCGUGAGUCUGCCUUACUAAGGCUUUGGGCAAUUCAUCCAGGGAAUAGAAGGAGCCACCAUCAUUUAUUUCUUGGAAGGAGCUAUUGCAGUGCUCUCUGCAGAGUUGCCAUGGAGAUCUGCCUCCGUGUUUCACAAGGACAAAGGCAAAACCGUGAGGAAAGGAUAAAUCCAUCUCCAGCUUAAAGAAGGGGACAAAUUAAACAAACAAACACAACGUGGCUGAUAUAAUCGCAUGCGCAGCACAAUUAAACAGCCGUUACCAAACCUCACCGAAUGUGACUCUUUCAUUGCUUUAAAGGGAUCAGUCUGGCUGUUUGCAGAUCGUUCAGAAAGAGAAGCUAUCAAGUGUCCUCUGAAACUAGCUAUGUUGGUUAAGUCUUCUGGCUGGUCCCCUGCUGGUGGGAGGAUGACUCACGCUCAGAGUGACCUUCUGUCAUACCACCCUCAAUAAUAUUGACAGAGGCUUGCCUGUGGUCCUUACAUUCAUCUUCAUUAGCACUUGGCUUUAAGCAUCAAUGUCAUUGUCCGCUCCUGGGAGGCCUUCACUGCUAUCUCUGCCUCUGUCUGCCCCGGCCGCCACAUCUUCCUGCCGUGGUUUAGCUUAGAGGGAACUCAAUCAGACUAUCAUCCGAGACUUGUUUGCCUGCAAUCUGCCCUUCUUAUCUGUGAAAAGUAGGACAAGGAGGAGGAAACCAUUGAUCUUGGAAGGUAAUUGCUUAAAGGGAUACUUCACCUCAAAAUUAGAAUUUGUCAUCAUUUACUCGCCGUUUGACAAGCAAAGAGCCAAUGAUGGAUAUUCUUCAGGGACAAGAUAUUAUUCAAAUAUGAGUUCUAAAGAAGGUCAUACAGGUUGAGUAAAUGAUGAGAAAACUUUAAUUUCCAUUUAGAGUCCAUUUAAAAAAAAAAAAAGCUACAGUCUGUUUGGUGUAUGUGUUUACAUGGUUUGCUGCAGUUAUGUUAUCAGUAUGUGUCCGAGUCUGUGUACAGGACAUGCGUAUGUGAUCGUGUGCUGCACAGAAAGAGUCAUCCAUCUCCGGUAGUCAGCGAGGGACCUACAGUCGGUGACCGCAGGCAGCAGGGCUCUGCCGCACAUCCACGGUCCCUAUCAGCUUCAGAGAGGUCAGAACUAAGAGAAGGGCAUAUACCUUCUUGCUUGGUGCUGAAGUGAUGCACAGUGUCCCCCUCUGAAAUAGUGAUGACUCGGCCUAAAGACAUGCUGGCAGGGGACAGGUUUGCAGGAGCUUUUGGCUGCUUUGUUGUAAAGAUCAAACAGCAAAGGAACAGUCCUGAGACUGAGUAACCCCAGCAUGAAAGAGAGAAGAGCGUCACCUUGCCGUGACACUGUUGAGACUCCAGUGUUAAGCAGGGAACCUGGACCUGGACCUGGAUCAGCGCUAUUCACAGUUCAGUGGUGCUGCAGAUAAUGAUAAUGAGGGCAGAUCUAAUUGCAGUAAGGCUGGUAUGCCACCCGCAGAUGUCUCACCUACGACUGACCUGCUGUCUGCAGCCAUGCUGCGCUAUGUAUCUUUUGCAUGCCAUAAAAGCUGUAGGAAUAUGGGUGUCUAUUUCCACACUUUUAGUUCUGCAGUGUGACUUGGCUGACAGUGUGUGAUUGCACUGUUGAUCAGAUCUUGUAACGGGCCGGCCUCCAGUGAGCCAGCUUGCCUGUCCAUUCUCAUAGCCUUUAAUAGUGUCUUUUGGAGGAAAAGAAGGAAGGACCAGUGGAGAAAAAUCUAUACCCAUCCAGAAGGACCAUCCUCAUGGCUUGUGCCUCAGAAGAGCCACAGGGAUCGAUGGCAUUUGUGUAAUCGGCUGGCCAAGGGUCGCUGGGACUCCUCACAGUGUAAUUUCUGCUCUCUGUUUUUAUCUCGGGCAAAUUGAUCACCAUGUCAGAAGAUUGACUAAACAGAGUGCAAGAGGUGACAAUUUGUUUCUUCAUUGUGCUUCAUUCCUUUAUUCUGCACAGAGGGUGAGUUUUGGAGGGUAGUGCUUUUAGAGAAUGUGACUUGGAAAACACUAUGAUUUUAACCAGACUCUACCUUCUGCAAAUUCACAUCGAUUAGAGCAAGAUUGCGGGCUUUUAGUAAAAAUAACAUGUUUUAGCCAGAACAUGUUUUACAGCAGCAUCAAAUUGGUUAUGAUGGUAAAUGUUUGUAGAUCGCAUUUUGAAGAUGGAUUUUGCAAAUUGGUUUUGCUGCACUUUUACUGGUGUUUAUAUAAUUUAUUUACUUUUUCUACCAUUUAGAAGUUCAGAAAUGUAUUAAUACUUUAAUUGAGCAAGGAUGCAUAAAAUUUAAUAUAAGUGACAGUUUAGACAUUUUGUAAUGUUAAACAGAUUUCUAUUCCAUAUAAAUGUUAUUUUUAACUUUAUAUUCCUCAAAGAGUCCCCAAAAAUGUAUCAUGGUUUCUAUGAAAAGUUUUCAAA